CACGUAUUUAGCCGGAGCUUCUUAGUCAGGUACCGUCAUUUUCUUCCCUGCUGAUAGGGCUUUACGUACCGAGGUACUUCUUCACCCACGCGGCGUCGCUGCAUCAGGCUUGCGCCCAUUGUGCAAUAUACCCCACUGCUGCCUCCCGUAGGAGUUUGGGCCGUGUCUCAGUCCCAAUGUGGCCGUCCACCCUCUCAGGCCGGCUACCGAUCGCAGGCUUGGUAGGCCUCUACCCCUGCCAACUACCUAAUCGGACGCGGGUCCAUCCCACACCGCCUCAGCUUUUCACACCAGGCCAUGCAGCCCUUGUGCGCUUAUGCGGUAUUAGCAGCCGUUUCCAGCUGUUGUCCCCCUGUGUGGGGCAGGUUACCCACGCGUUACUCACCCGUCCGCCACUCAGUCAUAAGUUGCUUCCAUCCGAAAACUUCCGCUCCUUAUGCUUCGUUCGACUUGCAUGUGUUAGGCACGCCGCCAGCGUUCAUCCUGACGCCAGGAUCAAA
rnacentral:rRNA from 1 species